GCCCAGGUGGUUUAGUGGUAUAAUUCUCGCUUAGGGUGCGAGAGGUCCCGGGUUCGACUCCCGGCUUGGGCC
rnacentral:tRNA from 14 species